GGGGUCGUUUGGUUUUGACAGCAUGUGUGUGGAUUUGUAAGCACGUCGGAGGUUGUGAGACGGUUCCGUUAAAAACUAACUCUCUUAGCCAAUAAAUGGCAACACUUAUGCUUUCGCUGCCUAACCGUGGCGAAUCUCGGAGCAUAGACAAGGUCUAUAGCACCGGGUGCUUCCCCGGAAGCCACGCCGUCCGGCGUCCGGCAAGAAGUAUCGUAAAGGGAUGGAUAGCGAGCGCAGGCUUCGAUGCGUGAGCGAAAUUUUAGAAGAUAAGCCUUGUCCUGGUUGGUCCCGUACCUGCCCAAGGCCGACAACCAAACGGUGACUAAACGUGUAGAAAGCACCUCUGCAGCAAGUUUGGACGCGGGUUCGACUCCCGCCGGCUCCAC
rnacentral:tmRNA from 1 species